rnacentral:lncRNA from 1 species
CGGGAAGGUGCCAGAGUGCACCAGGGUGCAAAGCAGUCACCCUUUUGCUUUAUUUAUUUAUUUAUUUAUUUAUUUAUUUAUUUAUUUAUUUAUUUCUCCUUUUCCUCCUUUUUCUCAUGGACAGCGCAGCCAAUGACAACCAUUUGAUUAUUUAUAAUUCUUCGGCCAAGAAAACAAAAAACUGACCAGCCUCUCCACCCUUGACCUUUCUCCAAGUUUUCCAGCCACCGCACUGUUUGUUUCUAAGACACAACACGAGCAGAGCGGCAUCCCCAUAUUCUUCACGCUUAUAAUGUGGAAAGAGAGCUGGAGGCACUGCAAAAACCACUCUCCGGUUCAGAUCCUAAACCCAAGAAGUCUCAAGGAAUCCAAAACAAAGUUAAUCUGA